rnacentral:rRNA from 1 species
AUUGAACGCUGGCGGCAGGCCUAACACAUGCAAGUCGAACGAGUGGCGGACCGGUGAGUAAUGUCUGGGAAACUGCCUGAUGGAGGGGGAUAACUACUGGAAACGGUAGCUAAUAACGCAUACCAUCAGAUGUGCCCAGAUGGGAUUAGCUAGUUGGUAGGGUAACGGCUUACCAAGGCGACGAUCCCUAGCUGAGCUGAGAGGAUGACCGGCCACACUGGAACUGAGACACGGUCCAGACGCCUACGGGAGGCAGCAGUGGGGAAUAUUGCACAAUGGGCGCAAGUCUGAUGCAGCAAUGCCGCGUGUAUGAAGAAGGCCUUCGGAUUGUAAAGUACGUUCAGCGGGGAGGCGUUACCCGCAGAAGAAGCACCGGCUAACUCCGUGCCAGCAGCCGCGGUAAUAC